GGUGUAGCUCAGUGGUAGAGCACUUGUUGAGCAAGUGUGAGGCCCUGGGUUCGAUUCCUAGCACCA
rnacentral:tRNA from 1 species